rnacentral:lncRNA from 1 species
AAAAUUAUGUUUGUUUAUAGUAUAAAUGGAACACUAUUUUUUUAUAUAAAUGUUUUUUAUUUGAAUAUUUUAAUUUAUUUAAGAUAUCGGAGUGAACUAAAUAUACAAAUCAAAUUAGAACUCUUACGCAAUAUGCUUUAAAUAUCCUUAGACGCAUCAAAAAGAUUUAUUGCGUUAAAUGUUAGUUGCAAAAUUCUUGCAAAAUACAAUUUAGUUUUCUUUGGUGUUGGUUGUUGGUUAUAGCGUUUAUUGUUUAUUGUUUAUUGUUGAUCUAGUCUUUUUGUGGAGCGAGUUAAGGAAAUAAAUUUUCCCUAUCCAGAGAGAGAACUCUAUUUCUUCUAUGGCGUCUUCAUGGCAAGAGCUUGUUCGCCAAGUUUGAACUCCCACUUUAUCAUCGAUGACAACUCUCUUCGAUGCUAGCAACUGCGUUUGAUCAUUUCCCGCACUUCUUUCAAUUUCUUUACAUUCUAGCUGAAGGAGAGACUUUACAUUUACUUAGAGAGUUAACAACCUUAAAGGUAAGACAGGCAAUCAUUCUCUCAAGAUUGAACAUUUGUUUGGUAUGCUUCUGAUUGAAUGAUGACAAUUUCCUUAAAUGGAGCUUUUAGCUUGAAUCGGUGCUCUCGAAGGUUACAAAUUAUUUGGUUAUUUUGAUGGUUCUCUGCUUCCUCCACCGAAAUUUGCUAUUCUUACAUCAGAGAUCACAACUGCAUACAAGGACAAAGCUUUACUGAGUCUAUUUAAAAGCCUAAAAAUUCAAAUAUAAUAGUAACAUAAUAAUACACAUUGCAUUGUAGUUUAUAUUCUAUAAGCCUAACAAAUACCCAUAUAAAAGUAACAUAAAAAUACAUACUGUGUUGUAGUUUAUAUUUUACAAAUAACAAAUACCAAUAUAGGAGUAACGUAAAAGUACACUGCAAUUUCUAUUCUAUAAACCUAAAAAUAUACCAAUGUAAGAGUAACAUAAAAGUACACCAUGUGUUGCAGUUUCUAUUUUAUAAACCUAAAAAAAUACAAAUAUAAGAGUAACAUAAAAAUACACAUUGUGUUGCAAUUUAUAUUCUAUAAACCUAAAAAAAAUUACCAAUAUAAGAGUAAAGUAAAAGUACACACUAUAUUGCAAUUUAAAUUCUAUAAACCUAAAAAUACCAAUAUAAUAGUAAUGUAAAAGUACACAUUGUGUUGCAGUUUCUAUUCUAUAAACCUAAAAUAUAAGAGUAACAUAAAAAUACACAAUGUGUUGAAGUUUUUAUUAUAAACCUAAAAAAAUAUCAAUAUAUAAGAUUACAAUAAAAGUACACAAUGUGUCGUAGUUUCUAUAUAUUCUAUAAACCUUUGAUUGUUAAUAUAAAUAUUUGUAAAUUAACACAUAUCAUAAAAACAAAAUUAGUGUAGUGGUUUGCAAUUGAAGAUUAUCCUUUGAGGGUCAAGGGUUGAGUACCUUCAAGUACACAAAAUUUGCUCUUUUUUUAGGGUGAAUAAAGGGUAGCUGAGGGUGGUGGUGUUGGGUGCUCGGCAGGCGACGGCCGAUGACAGUGGGCAAUUGGCUAACAGCAGUGGGUGGCAGCCGGAGGUGACUCAUCGGACAUGUGGUGUUGUGUGAUUAGCUUUAAAUAAAUUUAUUAAAAUAUAGAAGUAGC